UGGGGAAUAUUGCACAAUGGGCGCAAGCCUGAUGCAGCCAUGCCGCGUGUAUGAAGAAGGCCUUCGGGUUGUAAAGUACUUUCAGCGGGGAGGAAGGGAGUAAAGUUAAUACCUUUGCUCAUUGACGUUACCCGCAGAAGAAGCACCGGCUAACUCCGUGCCAGCAGCCGCGGUAAUACGGAGGGUGCAAGCGUUAAUCGGAAUUACUGGGCGUAAAGCGCACGCAGGCGGUUUGUUAAGUCAGAUGUGAAAUCCUCGGGCUCAACCUGGGAAAUGCAUCUGAUACUGGAAAGCCUGAGUUUCGUAGAGGGGGGGAAAAUUCCAGGUGUAGGGGUGAAAUGGGUAGAGAUCUGGAGGAAUACCGGUGGCGAAGGCGGCCCCCUGGACGAAGAAAUACGCUAAGGUGCGAAAGAGUGGGGAGCAAACAGG
rnacentral:rRNA from 1 species